rnacentral:rRNA from 1 species
AGUGAACGCUGGCGGUAGGCCUAACACAUGCAAGUCGAACGGCAGCACAGGAGAGCUUGCUCUCUAGGUGGCGAGUGGCGGACGGGUGAGGAAUACAUCGGAAUCUGCCCAGUCGUGGGGGAUAACGUAGGGAAACCUACGCUAAUACCGCAUACGACCUUCGGGUGAAAGAGGGGGAUCGCAAGACCUCUCGCGAUUGGAUGAGCCGAUGUCGGAUUAGCUAGUUAGCGGGGUAAUGGCCCACCAAGGCGACGAUCCGUAGCUGGUCUGAGAGGAUGAUCAGCCACACUGGAACUGAGACACGGUCCAGACUCCUACGGGAGGCAGCAGUGGGGAAUAUUGGACAAUGGGCGCAAGCCUGAUCCAGCCAUACCGCGUGGGUGAAGAAGGCCUUCGGGUUGUAAAGCCCUUUUGUUGGGAAAGAAAUCUUUCAGGCUAAUACCCUGGGAGGAUGACGGUACCCAAAGAAUAAGCACCGGCUAACUUCGUG